rnacentral:rRNA from 1 species
CUGGCUCAGAACGAACGCUGGCGGCAGGCUUAACACAUGCAAGUCGAACGCACCGCAAGGUGAGUGGCAGACGGGUGAGUAACGCGUGGGAACCUUCCCUUUGGUACGGAAUAACUUCGGGAAACCGAAGCUAAUACCGUAUAUCUCCUGUGGGAGAAAGAUUUAUCGCCAAAGGAUGGGCCCGCGUUGGAUUAGCUAGUUGGUAGGGUAAAAGCCUACCAAGGCGACGAUCCAUAGCUGGUCUGAGAGGAUGAUCAGCCACACUGGGACUGAGACACGGCCCAGACUCCUACGGGAGGCAGCAGUGGGGAAUAUUGGACAAUGGGCGCAAGCCUGAUCCCAGCCAUGCCGCGUGAGUGAAGAAGGCCUUAGGGUUGUAAAGCUCUUUUGGCGGGGACGAUAAUGACGGUACCCGCAGAAUAAGCCCCGGCUAACUUCGUGCCAGCAGCAGC